rnacentral:rRNA from 1 species
GUAACACGUAGUCAACCAUGCCCAGGGGACGUGGAUAACCUUCGGGAAACUGAGGAUAAUACCGCUGAUAGGUCACUACUUACUGUGAAUGGGUAAUGAACCCAAACCUAUAUGGCCCCUGGAUUGGACUGCGGCCGAUCAGGCUGUUGGUGAGGUAAUGGCCCACCAAACCUGUAACCGGUACGGGCUCUGAGAGGAGGAGCCCGGAGAUGGGCACUGAGACAAGGGCCCAGGCCCUAUGGGGCGCAGCAGGCGCGAAACCUCUGCAAUAGGCGAAAGCUUGACAGGGUUACUCUGAGUGAUUUCCGUUAAGGAGAUCUUUUGGCACCUCUAAAAAUGGUGCAGAAUAAGGGGUGG